UGAGCUGUAAGCACCUUAAGUGAUAUGCAUGAAAAAAACGAAUAAUUUCUGAAAGAAAGUCUUAAGGCUUUAAAAUAAUUUUCAGAAUUAAGAUUAUAUAAAAGUUUUACUUGAAAAGCGUUAACGAAUUUUGUCUUUAAUUUUUUUGGUAACAUUGACGAGUAGUAAAUGGCAUUACCGGAACAUGUUGAGAUGUAAACAAAAUAAAAUUAUGUGACCUUUGCUAAGCAUUUUCUUGUGAAUAUUUUAGACCACAUUAAUAUCUAAAUUAGACCAUGCUGCCUUCGGGUGCUGCAUAAAUAAUAGGAAAUUUAGUUAUGGACUUCAAUGAUGCUUUACAAGAAGUUGGGGACUUUGGUGUAUACCAGAAGUUACUUUGUAUGUUCCUUGUUGUUCCGUCUGCUAGUCUGUGUGCAUUGGUUUACUUUACACAGUUCUUCAUCAUUUUGGUACCAGAACACAGAUGCAGACUGUACGAAGAGGAAAAUUUUCACUUGGGCCUAAAUUCGUCGAAUUUGACUGUUCCUUUUGAAGUAAGAGAAGGUCAAGUACUACCCAUGCAGUGUGAGAUGUAUAUUUCAUCAAAUUACUCCUUCAACUGGGAAGCAAAUCUCUCGGAUAGAACAGGAGAAACUAUGAAAUGUCAGAAUGGAUGGAUUUAUGAUUUCAGUGAAUUAUAUCCAACUGUAGCUACUGAAAUGAACUGGGUAUGUGAACAUGACCAGUUGCCUUACCAGUCACAAACAAUCUUUUAUGUGGGAACUAGUAUAGGUUGUAUAAUUUUUGGACUUAUAGCAGAUAGAUUUGGAAGGCGUCCAUCUAUUAUACUGAGUUAUGUGAUUGCCUGUGUUGCAGGCAUUGGGACUGCUUUCACUAAAUCUUUUUAUACAUUUAAUUUUCUAAGAUUUUUUGUUGGUGCUACUAUUAUACCUCUCUCUGAAGACCCAUAUGUUCUAAGUCUUGAAUAUAUAGGUGUGAAAAAACGAACCUUUGUGAUUAUUAUUUGGUCCAUGGGGUAUAUUGUAUUUUCUGCUAUUUGUCCUUGGAUUGCCUUUGCAUUACGUGAUUGGCGCCUUCUUUGCAUUAUUACUUCAGCUCCACUUGCUGCUAUACCACUCUGUGGAAAGUUGAUACCUGAAUCCGCAAGCUGGCUGCUUACGCGUGGUAGAAGAAAAGAAGCAAUAAAAUUGCUUAAAAUAGUUGCAAGAAUAAAUAAGAGAGAUUAUUCAGAGGAAUUUGCAGAUAUUGAUUGUGACAAAAAUGAAGAAGCCAAUUUAAAUACUACCGCUUUAGAUUUAUUUCGAACUCCUCGCCUGCGGAGAAACACUUUAGUUCUAGCUGUAACAUGGUUUGUUGUUUAUUGCUGUUAUCAUACAAAUACCCAGAAUGCUUCAAACUUGGGAACAAAUGUGUAUGAUUCCUUUACUUACAGUGCUCUUGUUGAAAUUCCAGCUCUUUUUGUCAUAUUAUUUGGUAUUGAUUGGUUAGGCAGGCGAUGGCCUGUAGUUUUCUCUUCACUCUUAGCUGGAGUAGCUGGAAUAAUUAUCAUAAUCAUACCUCAAGUCUAUGAUUCUGUUGAUUCUACUAAAACAUAUCUAGGAUUGGCACUUAUACAAAGAGUAACUUUAACUAUUGUAUACAAUGUCAUUAUGCAAUAUUCAGCAGAACUUCUGCCUACUGUGCUUCGAGGACGUGGUUUGGCAUUUUUGAGACUAAUGGGUACUCUCGGACUAUAUCUCAGUCCAUCUAUUGUGUAUCUUUGUCUGGAGUGCUACUGUUUGUGAUAGCAGCAAUCACUACUAUUCUUCCUGAAACUGUACAUCAACAUCUGCCUCAUUCUGUUGAAGAAGGAGAGAACUUUGGGAAGGAUCAGCACAUAUUAGAAUGUCCUUGCUUAAAUAAGAGAAAUUAUAUGGGUGCUGACAAAGAAUCUUCUACUUAACUUUAAUCAAGAUAUUUUGAACAUUUUUGUCUCCUAUUAACAUUUAUUAAUUUACUUAUAAGCACUUUUUAUAGAAUUUUUACAAUGUUUGUUUUUAGUGCCAUUAAAAUUCUAAUACUUGUUGAAUUGUUAUUAAAAUAUCAUAUGAACUUAAA
rnacentral:misc_RNA from 1 species